UCCACGCUGUAAACGAUGUGCACUAGGUGUUGGGGUGUUGAAACCUCAGUGCCGGAGCUAACGUGGUAACUGCACCGCCUGGGGAGUAUGCCGGCAACGGUGAAACUCAAAGGAAUUGCCGGGGGCCCGCACAAGCGGUGGAGCAUGUGGUUUAUUUCGAGGAUACGCGAGGACCCUUACCAGGGCUUUCCAUAUACCAGGAGUCGUGUGAGAGCAGCGGCUCCCUUCGGGGCCGGUAUACAGGUGCUGCAUGUCGUUCGUCAGCUCGUUCCGUGAGGUGUUGGGUUAAGUCCCGCAACGAGCGCAACCCCUAUUGUUUGUCGCCAACAAGUAACGCUGAGGACUCAGAUGAGACUCCCGGUGCCAAACCGGAGGAAGGUGGGGAUGACGUCAAGUCAUCCCGGCCCUUAUGUCCUGGGCUACACACUUGUUCAUAUGGCCGGUACAAAGCGAGGCGAAACCGCGAGGUGGAGCGAAUCCCAAAAAACCGGUCUCAGUUCGGAU
rnacentral:rRNA from 1 species